rnacentral:lncRNA from 1 species
UCAUGAUCAGCCUGGAGCUUCACCUGAGCAUCCCUGCAUGGUGUGCUGUGUUCUCCCAGGGACCUGUUUCUGAAUUCUUGUUCCAGAUGGCUCAGAAAUGAAAUAAUCAUAAGAACCUAGAGACAGCCUCUGUUGCCCAGGCGGGAUCACAGCUCACUGUAGCCUCAAACUCCUCAAGUGAUCCUCCUGCCUUGGCCUCUCAAAGCACUAGGAUUUCAGCAUGGAGUGCCAUAUUUGUGGGCAUCAGGAGGGUCCAGAUGGCAACUUUACCAGACACUGGAGAUAAACUGAUUUGUUUAAAAGCAGGAGCUUGCAUCCAG